rnacentral:lncRNA from 1 species
UUUUUUUUUUUUUUUUGAGACAGGGUCUCACACCAGUUGCCCCCAGGCUGGAGUGCAGUGGCAUGAUCUCAGCUCACUGCAGCCUUGACCUUUCGAGCUCAGGUGAUUCUCCCUCCUCAGCCUCCCGAGUAGCUGGAACUACAGGCAUGCACUACCACACCUGGCUAAUUUUUUGUAUUUUUAAUGGAGACAGGGUCUCCCCCAUGUUGCCCAAGCUGAUCUUGAACUGGACUCAAGCAAUCUGCCUGCUGUGGCCCCCCAGAGUGCUGGGAUUACAAGUGUGAGCCACUGCUCCUGGCCUAGAUUUUUGUUUUCUAAUAUAUCCAUGCAAUACUAUAAAUUUCCCUCUAAUCUCACUGCUUUUGGUGUUCCCACAAGUUUUGAUAAGUUGCAUACUCAUUUAGUUCAGAAUAUUUUUUUCAUAUCUCUUGAAAUGUCUUCUUUUACCCACUUCUAAAUGUGUUAUUUAGAAGUGUCUUGUUUAAUCUUCAAGUAUUUGGGGAUUUUGUAGUUCCAUUUUUGUUUUUUAUUUCUAGUUUAACUCCACUGUGGUCUGAGUGCAUGCAUGAUAUAUAAUUUCUAUUCUUUUAAACUUGUUAAGGUGUAUUUUGUGGCCUAGAAUGUGGUCUGUUUGAUGUAUGCUCCAUAUAAGCUUAAGAAGAAUGUGUAUUCUGUAAUUGGAUGAAGUAGUCUAUAGAUGUCAAUUAUAUCCAGUUGAUUGAUGGUAUUGUGGAGUUCAGCUGUGUCAUGCUGAUUUUCUGCCUGUGGGGUCUAUUUCUUUUUUCUUUUUUUUUUUAAGAUGGAGUCUUGCUCUCUCACCCAGGCUGUAUGCAAUGGUGUGAUCUUGGUGCACUGCAAGCUCCACCUCCCUGGUUCAAGCAAUUCUCCUGCCUCAGCCUCCCCAGUAGCUGGGAUUGCAGGUGCCUGCCACCAUGCCUGGGUAAUUUUUGUAUUUUUAGUGGAGAUGGGUUUCACCAUGUUGGCCAGGCUGGUCUCAAACUCCUGACC